rnacentral:sRNA from 1 species
CCACGAAGCAAUGCACCUCCUCCCAGAGGGAAGCCUGACAGAACAGCGGCACUCCUCCUUCCAGCCGUCGUACAAUAUUUCGAAAAGCCUGCCGCACCUCCUCCCGCGGCAGGCUUUUUCG